rnacentral:rRNA from 1 species
UAUUGCGCAAUGGGGGCAACCCUGACGCAGCCAUGCCGCGUGAAUGAAGAAGGCCUUCGGGUUGUAAAGUUCUUUCGGUGAUGAGGAAGGUGGAUGUUUAAAUAGGGCAUUCAAUUGACGUUAAUCACAGAAGAAGCACCGGCUAACUCCGUGCCAGCAGCCGCGGUAAUACGGAGGGUGCGAGCGUUAAUCGGAAUAACUGGGCGUAAAGGGCACGCAGGCGGAUAAUUAAGUGAGAUGUGAAAUCCCCGAGCUUAACUUGGGAAUUGCAUUUCAUACUGGUUAUCUAGAGUCUUGUAGAGAGGGGUAGAAUUCCACGUGUAGCGGUGAAAUGCGUAGAGAUGGGAGGAAUACCGGAGGCGAAGGCGGCCCCUGGACAAAGACUGACGCUCAUGGCGAAA